rnacentral:rRNA from 1 species
GAUGAAAGCACUUUGGGAAGAGAGUUAAACGUACGUGAUUGUUGAAAGGGAAACGCUUAAGUCAGUCGCGUCGGCCGGGACUCAGCCUUGAUCCGCUUGGUGUACUUUCCGGUCGACGGGCCAGCAUCAGUUUUGACCGCGAGAUAAGGCGGAGGGAAUGUGGCUCUCUCGGGAGUUUUAUAGCCCUUCGUCAGAUGUCGCGGUUGGGACUGAGGAACUCAGCACGCCUU